UACAGAGGGUGCAAGCGUUGUUCGGAAUUACUGGGCGUAAAGCGCGCGUAGGCGGACCUGCAAGUCGGGGGUGAAAGCCCGAGGCUCAACCUCGGAACUGCCUUCGAUACUGCGGGUCUCGAGUCCGGGAGAGGUGAGUGGAAUUCCUAGUGUAGAGGUGAAAUUCGUAGAUAUUCGCAAGAACACCAGUGGCGAAGGCGGCUCACUGGCCCGGUACUGACGCUGAGGUGCGAAAGCGUGGGGAGCAAACAGG
rnacentral:rRNA from 1 species